AAGAUGUGUCAAAUAUAUAGAGACAGCCCUGAUUGGCUGCUUGAAUCUCAAUUUAAAGUUUGCGGUCUUUCUUUUCGCGGAGACUCAGCACGGCACGGGUACUCAUGGGUCUUACAGGGCUUUCAACCCAGGAGGUCCUUCAAAAAAUAUCAGAAGCAGGCAUAGAAGUAACCGACGUCGAAGCCCAGAGAUUCAGAGAUAAUGAUGUGGAUGGUGAAACAGUUGACUGUGGCCUCACAGAGACUAUGGUUGCGUACUUGUUUCAAGGAUCUUUCAAGAAGCAGGCCAAAUUCAACCAGUUUGUAUGCAAGCUGAAAGAGCCAUUAGUAACAGACAUUAGAGCCUGUGCCUCCAGAGGAAUGCCAACAAUCUAGUUCUGCUAUACCAAGGAAUGGAGCUAAUGUGAGACUGCCUGUUAGUUUUGACGUUCCAGCAUUCCCCAGACACCUACAAACAAAGCUAGACAACAAGGAACCAUGCCAGAAAAAUCCAAAGGAUAGACACACAAUGAUCCGGGUUCUCUAUGAGGCUGUGGCACAAUACACAAUGUACGUAAAUGUGUUGAAGGCAAUAUUAGACAUGGGAAAGCGAUACAAUGAUUUGCAAGACUUGAAUGUCAGUGAUGUAUCAACCUAAGCUAGUAAAAAAAAAUAACUUUAUCUGCAUCUCGAAGAUGUCACCUAGACUUAAAGGCUUUGACUUGGACUUUGGAUAAAAGCGUCUGCUAAAUGAAUACAUGUAAAAUGUAAAGCAGUUGAGCUAAUGCUAAACUAUACUUCCAUUAACAUUUCAUUUCACGAUUCUAGGAAACCACCAGAAAUAGUUAAAUUCCCUAGGGGAAAAAAUAUUUUUAUAGGUGUAACUGGAAUAUUUUAACUGAAGUCUUU